rnacentral:lncRNA from 1 species
AAGAAGAGCGUCGAGACCUACAAGAUCUACAUCUUCAAGGUGCUCAAGCAGGUGCACCCGGACAUCGGCAUCUCCUCCAAGGCCAUGUCCAUCAUGAACUCCUUCAUCAACGACAUCUUCGAGAAGCUCGCCGCCGAGGCCGCCAAGCUUGCCCGCUACAACAAGAAGCCCACCAUCACCUCCCGCGAGAUCCAGACCUCGGUCCGCCUCGUCCUCCCUGGGGAGCUCGCCAAGCACGCCGUCUCUGAGGGCACCAAGGCCGUCACCAAGUUCACCUCAUCUUAGAUAGGUUCCGUGUCUGGUGGUGCUAGU